CAGUAGCCACGGGAAUACGAAGGGGGCUAGCGAUGUUCGGAAUUCCUGGGCGUAAAGCGCACGUAGGCGGAUAUUUAAGUCAGGGGUGAAAUCCCAGAGCUCAACUCUGGAACUGCCUUUGAUACUGGGUAUCUUGAGUAUGGAAGAGGUGAGUGGAAUUCCGAGUGUAGAGGUGAAAUUCGUAGAUAUUCGGAGGAACACCAGUGGCGAAGGCGGCUCACUGGUCCAUUACUGACGCUGAGGUGCGAAAGCGUGGGGAGCAAACAGGAUUAGAUACCCGCGUAGUCCCUGUCUCUUAUAC
rnacentral:rRNA from 1 species